CCAACUCAUCCCUUCCUUGACUUUUCAAAGUAACUAGAAUUCCAAGAAGCUCUCUCUCCCUCUCUAUUCCCACGGGUCCAAGAAAAAUCUGAAAUUCUCACUUCACUUUUCUCUCUUUUCUCUUAAGGAAAGAGCUAGGAAGCUCUCUUGAGUCUUCUCUCAAGUCCACGGGUUCACACACCAAAAGAAAGUUGAAGCUCUAUCUCAUUUCUCUUCAUAUUCUCUCAAAGAAACUAGAAAACUCAAAGAAAACUCUCUCAAGCUCUCUACCUCUCACACUUUCGGGUCUAGCCACUAGGAAAGGGAAAUCCUUUCAUGCAAGAGUGAUUCUAUUCCUAUUUUCCCCUUAAGAACCUGAAACUUGGUGUUACCAGUACCCAAGUCUAAGCUUCUUCGACUAUAGGCUUUCAGUUCCUCUGCUUUCAGACAUUCUCUCUCAUCUCUCAAAUGCUCUCUUUCAUCUCUCAGCUCUCUACUUCCAUGGCUGGACCUCGUCAUGGCUGAAGCUCACAUGACCACUACAAAGGCAGCUUCUUCUUUGUCUGGAUUUGAUGAUUUGUAUGGAGGAGAUAGAGAUGGAAGAGAGUCAGGGGGAUCGAAGAGCGAGAGAAUUGAUGGAGAAGAGAGAGAAGGGAGAGAGAAAAACUAUUAAAAAAAGAAUAUUCAAAGCUAUAGUAACCCAUGUAUAUAUAUAUAUAUAUACAGUUAUUGUAGCAAGUUUGGAUAUUUACAAACCUUUACAAGCUCUAAUGUGCAUCUAUUUUAUGCUAUAUUGUGUAAAUUUUUGCACUUUUUGCAUUUUA